AAGAGAUGGAAGUGAUAUGAUCCUGUCUUUUGUAACAUUAUAAGUUUGUCUCUUUUGUACUCUAGUUCUCGAGAGUUCUUUAUGAUUUAUGUGUGCCGUAUUGUACCUAAAAAGAGAACUGGAGGCUGGAUGUAUCAGUGGUCUGUCAAUAGCUCCAGUUUUACAUGAUCUGGGUUAUAGUUCAUCAGCUAUCAGAGUACAAUACAUAUGUAUGACUAAGUAUUAGUGCUGCAAUUAUGCUUCAGUGUUAGGCAUUUCAGCUUCCUUAUUCAUCUCUGGUAUUUCCCUCAUCACAUCAAGCCUUGUCACGUGACUGAAGAGAGAUAAUUCAUCAGAUUGUAGCUACAGAAUUUCUCACGUAUGAGCUUUAUUCACAGCAAUGCUGCCAAAACAAAGUCUGACAAAAUUUAUUCACAAUAUUAUCACUUAUACACAUCUGAUGUCUAUUACUCAUCUUAUUAUACACCUUUUUUUAUAUAAAUCUUAUCAUACACUUAUUUUGACUUACUAUGUUGGGUAUAUGAUAUAAGUUUGUCUAUAUAUAGCUUCUUGCCUAACGGUGAGCUUGAAGUAGAAUGGUAGGUCUAUGUUGGUUGUCUGUAGAAGCCGACACCUUGUGUAUACUGAGCGUAGGCCUCCGAUUGCAUGCCGAUUGGGGCGCGGAUGAUUUGAUCUGGGACAUCGAAGGCGUCGACAAGUUCUCGAGCCACAAGCCUCACCUGGUAACUGAGGUAGUCUACCAGUUUAUGGAUAGCCUGCAAGCAUACAGAGGAGCAUAGCAUCAGGUCCUGGUUCUGGUUCUGGUUCUGGUCUGAAGCUAAGAACUGAAACUGCAAUUGUGUGCCAUGGGGUUGAGAAGCAGAUGCAAACCUUGGCUUUGUUUGGCGCGACAUAGUCUACAUUCCGAUAUGUCCCGAUGUCUUUCCAGAUCCUUUCAAGCGCAUAAAGGUCGCAUACCAGCUUCAGUACUUCGCGUGUUUUUUCGUCAGGGCAACUGCAUAGACAAAUCACAAGUCAUUGUCGUCGCUUUAACUUCACUGGAUAAAGUGAAAAGGGUUACGCACAACAUCUCAAUGGUGAGUAUGCUUUGGUAGUUCAACUUUAAUUCUACAACUCAAGCACAAAUAAUCAUGAUCGACGGGUUGGAAAAUGCAGUCAGGGAGAUGGGAGGAUUCUUCUGUGCUUUCACCGAUAGCAAGUCUCAACCAAACAAAUCUUCCUAGUAACUAUGCUACAAAAUCUUUACUUCUAAACUAAAUAGUGUGUGGAGCUAACUAGCUACUAGUAAGCAAUGAUGGUAAGAAGAAUGUAACUGAGGACAAGUAAUGGCACAAAAACUAUACCUCUUCACUGCUUCUAUAAACCUUGCGAGGAUGACAGACUCAAUGUGUGACUCUGCCAGUGUGAGCAGAUGGUUUAAGCAUCUGUUCCAUGCACCAAAACCUCCGAGUGUCUUCAUGUGCUUCUGGAGUCGAGCAGCAACACUAUGCAGGAGUCUAGAUGUUCGGUACUGAGAAGAGAGUUUAAGCAAUCAGUACAGGACUUCUAUCCAAUAGCAACUGAUGUUAUUACGAAGACAGAACUCACUCUGAAUGCAUCCAGCUGAAAUUUAGGAUCCCUGAGAUGAUCUUCCCCUUCCCACCGAGCAGUAACAGGAUUAGGCUGGGACAAGUAGGUGUUCAUCGAGUCUCUCAAGUAGUUCCAGGUGACCGAGAGUGUUCCUCCCUUGAAUUUUUGCUGAUAUUGCUUCAGGAGAUCUCCAGCAACCUACAAUAUAUAGCAUCGUGAUAAGAGGUACUGUACAAUAUUUGAGCCAUGCCCAUCGAAUAUCGUAAUGAGCUUUGUAGAGGAUUCUGAUUGGUACCUGCUGCAGCAGAACUGUGUUGUCUCCUUCGAAUGUUUGAAAUAUAUCAUGGUCAUUCCGCAGACCACCAAAACGAUUUACAGCAGCAUACCCAUGGCCACCACACGAUUCUCGGCAUAUGCUGAUAGAUUUUGCCGUGUAUGAAGUUAUGUAGGAUUUCAACCCAGACGAAAGUACAUGGACAUCAGCGGUAACAUCCUCGUCAUUGGUUUUCUUCAUUUCCGAGUACAUAUCUACCAGAUACGCUCUGGCAAAAUGAAAUGCAUACGCUGAUGCCAGCAUAGGCAUUAGUUUGUGCUGGUGAGACUGGUAAUCCAGCACACUGAUUUCAGGCUCCUUAGGUGGACCAAACUGUUGACGCAGUAAAGCAUAUCUAACAGCAAUGGUUACUGCAACUUUGAGUACUCCCACAGAACUAUAUGCAAGCCCAACUCGGCCCCCAACAAGCUCACCAAGGGUUGCGGCAAAUCUUCUAUUAAUCGUGGGGAGGCUGCUUGUGUAUUUUCCAUCUCGCGCCACAUCACCGAAUCGGUUCAGAAGGUUGUCACGGGGUAUCCUAACUGAACAGAACCUCAGGGCACCAUUAUCUACACCAUUUAGGCCUAUCUUGUGCCCACAAUCAUUGAUCUCAAUUCCAGGGAGAACAGCAUGGGUUUCAAGGUCCCGAAUCGGGACAAUAAAUGCAUGAAUUCCCAUGUCAGCAGGUUCCCCUCCUUUCCCCUGAAGCGGUAGAAUUAACCUCGCAAAAACAGUGGCGAAUUUUCCAUGAAGAGCUGCAUUGCCAAUCCACCACUUAAUGGCUCCAUCAUUUGGGGUAUCAAUAAUGAACUCGUCAGUAACUGGAUCAAAUGUAGCAGUGGUCUGUAGGGCUUGAACAUUGGAUCCUGUCGAAAAGCAACAAACAGAAAUGAAAAUAAUCUUUUCAAACUAUUGUAAACAGCGUUUUAGGUGGUGGGUACAAGUCGGAAUAGAGAGUUAAACUGCAAAUUAAUCAAAGUACCAAACAGGAAAUCAGAAAUACUGGUGAAACAAUUAAAUAGAUAAUCUAACCAUGAUGCAGUUCUGUCAUAGCAAAACAGCCUGGAUACUCCAAAUUGUCGAUUUUGUCGAAGUACUUUUCUUUGUGCUUCUUGGUUCCCAAAUUUACUACAGAACCCCCCCAAAGACUGCGUUAACAAGCAGGCAAGUUAGUGGAUAUAUAACAAUGGGCAGACAAGGAAAACUACCCCAGCCAAACUCCCAUCUUACUAAAAGAAAAGGGGAAAUUCCAGACUCAUAAAAGGUGCAGUGUUUGAGGUUGUAUGAAAUGAACCACCAACCAAACUCCACAUGCAUGUACACCCUAAAUAAUCCCAAAACCCAAAAUAAAUCGUGACUACGAAAAAUGUGGACAUAAAACGCUUGACAUUUCACAAUAGAAGUUGUGCACGCAAGCAUCCAUGUAGCUUUGGGCAAUCAAAUGAAUCCUAAACUAACCAUAAUAGAAGUUGUGUAGCAGCCAACCAUAGUAAUCAAGAGCUAAUGCCGCUUCUUUCAUCACAACAAUCAAUCAGGCCCACACUGUUGCAGCGAAAAGUACUUGCCUCUGUUUUCAGAGUCACUGUCACUCAUAAAUCAUAAGUACUUGCCUCAAUAAGGAGUGCAAUUGCAAUCUAGCCGUACAUGAAUUAGGUUGCAGUUACUACCAACAGAUCCAAGCCCCACACUCACAAAUCACAUUAACCAUGCUAACAUGCCAGAAUCCUUGUGAAUGCGAUAAUCAGUACGGCCGUGGUCAGUAUGAUGAGGCGUGUUGUGUUAUUCACAUUCAAAAGAGUAAAACAAAACGAUUUUAGUUACUGAUGACACCGACAGUCAAAUUACCAAUUGAUCCAUGGAUAUAGUUCGCAGUUCCCCUCGUAGCAUCACAUCAAGCAAGGGAAAGUCGUACACUCUAUCCCACACGUACUCAUCAAGCAAUUAUGUAAGCCCUCUCGUUGACUACCAACUAACAAUCCCCAUAUAUAUAUGAAACAUAUGGAAGCAAUUAAGAAUUGAGCUGUGUUCUUUACCAGUUUAUUUUGUGAGGGAAUCACUGAAUUACCAGUAAAUUAACGCGGUAUAAUUUUUUUUUAAAAGGUGAACCAACCUGUACUGUACGCCGACCUUGAUGGCGAGGGAGAUGUCGACCCCGCCGACGGCCUCCAUGACGGCGAAGUACUCGGCGGGGUCGGCGGCCAUGAGGCUGAGCGGCCGCACCCCGGCCUCCCGCACGAGCGCCGCCAUCUGCCGGAAGCAGAGGUCGCGGUGGGCGGCCAUGGGCAGCUCCACGGGGGUCUGGAGCUCCGGCCGCGCGACGUAGAACUCGUACACCCGCGCCUGCAUCUUCCGGUGCCGCCCCCGGAGGUACGCCGUGAGCGCGGCCGCGUCCGCGUCCAGGCCCCCCGCCCGCCGCUUCCCCGCGCACGCGGCGGGGACCAGAGAGCCGCCCCCCUCGGGAGCGGGCUGCAGGAGGUGGAGGGAGAGGCGCCGGAGGCGGCGCAUCGCCGGCGUCGGGUCCUCGUCGUCGGAGCCGUGGCGGACGGAGCGGGACGUGGUGGCCAUGGCGACGUCGGGCGGUGAGGCGUUGGACGAAGCGUGCGCGCGCGGGCCGGGGCGGGGGUGUGGGUGGGAAAGCGAAGGCGAAGUUAGUCGGUGCCGUUACGUUAGGACGUUUGCUUUAAUGGAGUCCAACGGGAGGCUCAUCUUUCAGGUCGGCCCCUGUAAAUAUGUGGUAUUAUUAAUUUUGCAUCUCGAAUCCACGUGUUCACAUGUUUUUAAAUAUAAAACGGUUGUGUAACGUAAAAUGCACACCAUCUUAUGAGUUUACACAUGUCUUUUACCAUGUAAACACCGAGUAUAAUAUAGGCACACAUACUCACAUGAUAUAUAACAAAGAUUAUAGUUAUGGACUUAAGAUUGACAAAAUCACGCCAGUUCUUUUGGGGGAUUCUACCAGAAUCUCCCCCCCUCCCCAGCUUCUCUCAGAAUCGUCACUCCAUAUGUUUUUACAAUCCUAGCUAAUUAGAUCUUAACUAUAUAGGAUUGUAAAAAAAAUAUGUUGUGGCGAUUCUAGGAGAAGCUGGGGAGGGGGCGUUUCUGGGAGAACCGCUCAAAAGAACUGGCUCAUAUGACGUUUUGGUAGGCAUGGUACAUAUCUGCCUAAUUAAGAGCAUCAUUUGUCCGACCCAACAAGGGUGACCCCCUUUACCCCCUCCUCAAAUGCAUGCAAGCCAUGCAACAUCGAUGAAAACAAAUGACAUAGGUCAUAGCACAUUUAACAUAGUUCAUGCAUAGGACAAAAUAAUACAUAGUUCGACAACAAAAGGACAUAGCACACAACACAUAGUUUAUACCACUAUGACAUACUACAUUCAAAAUGAAUUCAAUUGAUCUUCAUUUUCCCUUUCCCUUCUUCAUAGUGGUAGGAGAGCUCUUUAGGAGCAUCUUGGCGUUCUUGCGGCUACGGCGGCAGGCACCAAUUCUUUGGUGGUCAAUGACUGGGGUCCAUGUUGGAAUCGAACAACACCCGCAUUGAAGCAGAAAGUGAUGUGAUGCCGCUAGCUCUGAGUUGGGUUGCCCGCACUGCAGACUCACAAUAGUCGCCGCUGUUGCAUCCGCUUGAGCCGCGGACAAAGUAGAUGAGAGCGACGAGGGAGGGCGGCGGGUCAAUAGCCACCGCCGGGAUGGCGGGGACGGUCUACUGUUGCUGGACAUGCGACACUAUGAGUCGGUAGCACUGCCGUUGAAUCCGCGAUAGAGUGAGUUGGACGGACCGCCGCUGCUAGACCCACGCCGAGCCAGCAGAGAAGACUCAUGGUUGCUGGAUCCGCACAGGUAGGGCAUUCCACGUCUCGACCAAGGACCAACAGAGGCCAAUCCGCCCGACGAGCUCCUCGUCAUCCUCCAUCGGGAGGAGGUCCCACUUGAUACCAUUGUCUUUGAUCCAGACCUAGACAUGGCAACGAGGACGGCUAGGGUAUGUGGAGGGGAUGGGACUGUAGAGGAGAGUACAGAGAGGAGAGUGAGAGUGAGCUAGGCUUAAGGUUUGCCUAUGGAUGGGGUGGAGGGGAUUUUGUGGGGUCUCGAUUGGGCCAAAAAAUGUCUAGUCCGACCUGAUGGACAUGCCCGGACAAGGUCUCACAUUUGGACUAGGCCUAGGGUGGUUUGAACUAUCCGGACAUAUAGGGACGAUUUGAGGAGGCCUAUUGAGUCGCUGAUUUUUGUCUGAACUUACCAAAGGGUGAUGGUGGAGGUUCCUUACGAUCAAAGUGAGCCAUCACUCCCCCACCCCUCACUCUAGAAAGAUACUUAAAGAGUCAAUUACACCAUCGGUGCCACAACUUGGCAUGAAAAAUCAAUUUAGUGCUAAAACUUGCGGCAUACAUUGAACUGGUGCCAUAACUUGGCUUUGACGUACAUAUACAGUGCAAAUCACGUUUCUAUACGAACAAGAUGCUGAUUAGGCACGCCAAUGUGGCACGGGGCCUGCUGUCAACGACUGGCGGCAAAGUGGGCAUGUGGCCUGCUUUUUUGCAAAAAAUAAACCUCGAAAUAUUGUUCUCACGAAAAAAUACUAUGCCAUGGCUGCAAGGGUCCACUUGUCAGCCUCCCACAAAUAAAUGAAAAAUUGGUACGUGAGGGGCUCAAACAACUGACCUGUAGCUAGCAGCAGCGCAAGUAUAACCACCUGACAAUCAGCCACAUUUAUUAUAACUGGAUGCUGCUGUUGUAUAUUUUUUGACUGCUACUAACUAGGUUGCAGUCCCUACAUCUCAUUUUGCACUUCUCUUUUCAGAAAUUUAUAGAAUAUAUGUCAAAUAUAAUAGUGCGUUAUAAAUAAUAUAUAUGUAUAAAACAAUCGUGUAUGGAUUUAGUAUUUAUCCAUAUAUCAAAUUAUGAAGUACAAAAUUGUUUAUGUAAUAAUUUGCAUAUUGAAUAAGAACAUAUAUUCGGUAAAUUCUUAUAUAAGUUUAAAAGUGUUCACAGUUUCAUCCAAAUAUUUAUGUAAUAUACUACAAAAGUUUCGUGCUUAAAGUAAGUGUUUAUAAGAGUUUAAAAAUGUUCACUAUUAAAAAGAAAUCAUGUUAUGUAUAAAAGUGUUCAUGCUUUAAGAAAGUUUUUUAUUUUACUAUAUAUUUUCAUAAAAUCUUAAAUAAGUUUUAAAAUAUUCAAAGUUUUAACAAAAUAUUAACGUAGUAUAUAAAAGUGUCAUGCUUUAAAAACAUAUAUUCAUAUAAUGUAAAAAUAGUUGGCUGGGAUUAGAAGCAGUGAUAUGUGGCACAUGCCACCAUGUGUGAGUGGCCACCACACCCCCAACAACGUUACUUUUUUUAGGAAUUUAUAAAAUAUAUAUUUUAUUUCAAUAAAUGCUAAUAGAAGUUUAGAAUGUUCAUGACUUAAAAAAUAUUAGUAUAUGAAAGUUUUCACUGUUAUUUUUAAAUUUAUUUUUUUUGACGGCAAAAUAAAUAAAUUUAAAAAUAACAGUGAAAACUUUAACGCGUGGUUACUAUUUAUAUGUAAUUUUUUUUACAAAAAUAACAGUGUAAACUGGGUCGCUGGGACUCCAGUCCUAGAACGUUUGUAUGCUUUUUGUAUGAGUUAAUCACAAGUAAUGAUGCUGGAUGUAUUUGUUUGGCCGGCGGUACUGCAUACCUCAGGUCAGGUGAUCGAAUACCUGGAUGACAAUUUUUGCACAAUAGCCCCCAUCUGCGAGAAAAAUAUGGGUCGCUACCAGGUGCUUUUUCAUGAGAAAAAAAAUAUACCAAUGGUUUUUCUUGCUCAAAUAGCAGACACACGUUGUCCAGUCGCGCACAUCAGCAUGCCUAAUCAGCACCGUGUUCGUAUAGAAACGUGAUUUGCACCGUAUAUGCACGUCAAAGCCAAGUUAUAGCACCAAUCCAAUGUAUGCCGCAAGUUUUAGCACUAAACUGACUUUUCGCGUCAAGUUGUGGCACCAUUGGUGUAAUUGACCUAUACUUUUGAUUGCUCAUUUGUAUUUUUAGUCCCAUCAAUGUUUUCUGUCAAGCUCUGGCACUGCUAAUAGGAACAUUGUUUCCCACAUGAAGAAUAAUUAAUUGCAACAAGACGCACGGCGUCAAAUCUGCGGUUCAAUAGCUGGUGGAUUAGAAGUAAAACUAUCCAUUCGCAUAUUAUUUUUAACGUGUGCAAUUCACAAUUUUACGUAAUUAUGGGAUCCAUCAUUUCAUUUCAAGCACUCUUGUAGUCUUUCUUUAGAAAUAGAUGAUCUCGUAAACAAUGUCAUGGUUCUCAUCCACGACAUACUCUAUUUUAGUUGUAACUUUUUUGCGAGGAUCCAUUUUUAUCUCUCAAAAAAUGAAGUCGCCCAUCUACAAAGAGUAACAAUAUAUUUGGCUCACACGAGGAGCCAUGUGUUCACGUGCGGAUCCGACAUUUGGUUGCCGUCACCGGUCGUAGUUGUCAGGCUGAAUUGCGGUCAUCGCUAAGUUGCAAUGAAUGUCGAAUGUGCUAUGAGAUUAUUGUGAACCAUGGCAACAUCCAUAUUUUCAACCAAUAGUGUCAUUUUGAGUAAAUCAAAUUCACCCUUGGUCGAAAAAAAUAGUGUCAUGUGACGGUGGUGAUGUGAUGACUCCCCCGUCCAUCAUCUCGUGUAUGUACUUUUGUUAUGGAAUUUUUUUGUAGCUGUUGUGAUGAGAGAUUGUAUAUUUUCUGGUUGUGUAGGGGGCGGAACGUGAUUGUUACGCUGUGGCCGGGGACUUUUGGGAGUUGGGACGGCGAGGCCGCCGAGGCAAGGAACCGAGGAGGAGAUAUGCGUUGACGUGUAAGCGACGUGACGGUGAUGUGGAGAUAAGGUUGGUUGCCCUCACGUGCAAGCAUCCUCGUGCUGGCGCAUUGCAACUGACAGGUGAGGUCGCCGAUACGGCCAUGAUUUGUUUUUUGUUAAGUGGAUACGGCCAAUGCGUUGUUUUUUGUUACGUGGAUACGGCCAUUGCUUCCAGAACCGACGUGUCAGCUAUACAGGCAGGUCGUGCGGUGGAUUCGUGCGUACCUCGUUAGAACGAUAGCUUUUACUCCUCAGUUCACAAAAAUACAAGGUAUUUCGAAUAAUUCAAUAUAGACUAUGCACGGAUUGAAAUAAGUGAAUAAUAAACACACUGAAACAUGUCUACAUACAUGUCACAUGUGAUUCAGAUGAAGCGAGUUAGUAUUAAAGGGCUCCGUCCAAGGCUUACACGUAGGUGAGAAUAUCACAUAAAAACCUAACACUCAAAGAAAACUUCAUGAAAUACAUGUUUGUAAGUUUUGAACAAAUCUAAAAAAGAAACACGGGACAUUAAAAAGGUGAUGUUUUAUUGCCAUGUGAAAUUUCAUGUUGAAACACAUUACGAAAUGCGAGCUACAGAAGAAACAAAUUCAAUAAUUCAAUGCUGAUUUUGUUUUUCUUUCAUAGCUGGCAUCAUGUAAUGAGUUUGAACUUCAUUUUUCACAUGGCAAUAAACAUCACCCUUUUAACAUCCAUUUUUUUUAUUUUUUUUAUAAUUCAAAUCAUUUCCGUCUGGUUUCCGCCAAAUGUUGGUUUUUAUGUGAUAUUCUCUCCUACAACAGAGCACCAAAAAAGGACUUCAACUUGGAUGGUGGCAAACUAGAGAGGUGUGUGAUGGAAAAAAAAAUCUUUAUACUUAUUUUUAGGGGUUCUGGGAAUAUAUAAGGCAGUGGAAGAAAGAGGUUGUGGAGUCCCACUGUGGGUCCCACGCGUGCCCUGGCCAUGUAGUGGGGCCGCAUGGUCCUCUACCGACUCAUGUGCCACCGGCUUCAUCUCGUCUAUAAAUUCCAAAAGUGAUUUUCUGUUUUUUUUUUAAAAAAUAUCAAAAAGAAAAAACAAACAACAAUUGAGCGCUGAAUUAAUAGAUUUAGGGCCUGUUCGGAAACACUCCGGCUCCCAACCCCGUGGAGCUGAAGUGGUGGAGCGGAGCGGCGCGCAGUUCAUCUUUGCGGAACAGCCAUUAUGUCGCUCCUCAUUUCCAGUGCUGAGCGGAUCGGAGUCGCGGGAGUGGUCCGUUGCCAAACAGACCCUUAAUAAAAUAAAAAUAAAAAUAAAAGUAGGUGCCAAACUUAUGCAAUAAUGAUAUAAUUUUAGAAUGAAAAGGCAAAAGUUAUAGAUACGUCUAUGAUGUGUCAACCAGCUCGCCGCCAGGGAUGCCAAGACUCCAUUUGCCUCGCAUCGCCUAGACAAAAAUCUGGACUGGAAUCGUCGGGUGGUCGCCAAACAUCCGACCAUUCCCUUCCUUCGUUGCAACCCGCGCGCAGAACCACCCCGCGUGCUGCCCACACUUAGAAACCGUGAGCAAAUCUCCUUUGUUUCCGCCAGGUUCACAUCAACGUCGGUGCACAACUCCCCUUCCAUCGCAGGCUUGCGUCCAUCGCCAUUCGCGAGCGGCAAAAACGAAGAGAGCCAGGAGAGUGGUGACUGCGAGUGGGCAGGGUGUGGCGAAUGCAAGUAGGUGCGUGAAUGCGAGUGGGUCAAAUACUGAAAUUGAAUCGUGCAAAGUGCGUCCAAACUGAAACUGAAACUGAAAUUAGCAUACUGAAACCGACACUUGCACACUGAAAACGCGCAAAAUGAAGUGAAAAUGAAAUAGUGACUGAAACUAGUUUUUUUUGGUAAGAAAUGAGGUGCAAAGCUUAUUUAGCAUAUAUCAAUUCGCAAAAAUUGCUCUGAUCUUAUUUAGCAUGCACUUGCAAAUGCUCCUAUUCUGGUUCUGGUUGGUCUCAUUUUGUACUAUACCCAACUGCAAACCAUUUCCAAGUGCGCAGUUUUGUGUUUUCAGUUGUUUGUCUGAGUCUACAUUUGAGCUGGGAAAUAUGGAAUCUUAGUAAUGCUAGUUUCCACAAAACUCAUGUGCAAGGUAGUAGUGGGUACAUUUUCGUUGAAGCAUUGUAGAAUCCGUACGCAUCUUUGCUGUCAAUGCGAAAUUUUAUGAAAUAUUUGAAAACCACUUUAUUUUCGGUUGGCAAUGAGGGGCAGACUAGUAUAUAAUAAUUUAAUUUGAUUUAACCUGAGAGACAACCGGUCCAGCACGUAGCUUCAAGCAAACGAAUUGUAAACGAGUACUUGUUUCUUUUUCUUCCGAUUUCCAUCUUCCCCAUGGUUGUUAGACUUCAUACACUCUUCAUACAUACAACUAUAAUACAAGUAACUAUUUCCCAGCUACACCAAAGCAAAACAAUCUUCACCGAGUUGGCAGAUGCCCACCCAUUGGUGAUCGGUAUGGUCUGAUCAUGUCAUUAAACGCCUAGGGAUGCCCACUAGCCAGCAAUGGUCUGGAUUGUGCCACCUCACUGAUCCGUGGCACCAUGGCAUCCUUGUUCUCUCCACCAUGCCUUCUUCCAAGACCAUACCAUCUCUAUAUAUACUAGAGGUGUUGGAAAUAUGCCCUAGAGGCAAUAAUAAAAUGGUUAUUAUUAUAUUUCUUUGUUCAUGAUAAUUGUUUGUUGUUCAUGCUAUAACUGUGUUAUCCGGAAAUCGUAAUACACGUGUGAAUACAUAGACCACAACAUGUCCCUAGUAAGCCUCUAGUUGACUAGCUCGUUGAUCAACAGAUAGUCAUGAUUUCCUGACUAUGGACAUUGGAUGUCGUUGAUAACGGGAUCACAUCAUUAGGAGAAUGAUGUGAUGGACAAGACCCAAUCCUAGGCAUAGCUCAAAGACCGUGUAGUUCGUUUAGCUAGAGCUUUUCCAAAUGUCAAGUAUCAUUUUCUUAGACCAUGAGGUUGUGCAACUCCCGGAUACCGUAGGAGUGCUUUGGGUGUGCCAAACGUCACAAAGUAACUGGAUGACUAUAAAGGUGCACUACGGGUAUCUCCGAAAGUGUCUGUUGGGUUGGCACGAAUCGAGAAUGGGAUUUGUCACUCCGUAUGACAGAGAGGUAUCUCUGGGCCCACUCGAUAAUGCAUCAUCAUAAUGAGCUCAAUGUGACCAAUUGUCUGGUCACAGGAUCAUGCAUUACGGUACGAGUAAAGUGACUUGCCGGUAACGAGAUUAAAUGAGGUAUUGGGAUACUGAUGAUCGAGUCUCGGGCAAGUAACGUACCGAUUGACAAAGGGAAUUGUAUACGGGGUUGAUUGAAUCCUCGACAUCGUGGUUCAUCCGAUGAGAUCAUCGAGGAGCAUGUGGGAGCCAACAUGGGUAUCCAGAUCCCGCUGUUGGUUAUUGACCGGAGAGGCGUCUCGGUCAUGUCUGCAUGUCUCCCGAACCCGUAGGGUCUACACACUUAAGGUUCGAUGACGCUAGGGUUGAAGAGAUAUUAGUAUGCAGUAACCCGAAAGUUGUUCGGAGUCCCGGAUGAGAUCCCGGACGUCACGAGGAGUUUCGGAAUGGUCCGAAGGUGAAGAAUUAUAUAUAGGAAGUCAGGUUUCGGUCAUCGGGAAAGUUUCGGGGGUCACCGGUAUUGUACCGGGACCAUCAGAAGGGUCCCGGGGGUCCACCAGGUGGGGCCACCUAUCUCGGAGGGCCCCAUGGGCUGAAGUGCGAGUUCUUGGGGGGCAAGUUUCCCCCCUUGGCCCUCCCGCGCCUAGGGUCGGAAACCCUAGGGGUGGGGGCGCCUCCACCUGGCUUGGGGGGCAAGUUUCCCCCCUGGCCGCCGCCCCCCCCUUGGAGAUCCCAUCUCCUAGGGCCGGCGCCCCCUAGGGGGCCUAUAUAAAGAGGGGGGAGGGAGGGCAGCCGCACCCAUGCUCUUGGCGCCUCCCUCUCCCAUUGCCACACCUCUCCCUCUCGCAGAAGCUCGGCGAAGCCCUGCCGAGAUCACUGCUGCAUCCACCACCACACCGUCGUGCUGAUGGAUCUCCGUCAACCUCUCCUCCCCCUUGCUGGAUCAAAAAGGAGGAGACGUCUUCCUCAACCGUACGUGUGUUGAACGCGGAGGUGUUGUCCGUUCGGCAAUAGGAUCAUUGGUGAUUUGGAUCACGACGAGUACGACUCACUCAACCCCAUUCUUUUGAACGCUUCCGCUCGCGAUCUACAAGGGUAUGUAGAUGCACUCCUUUCUCUCGUUGCUAGAUGAACUCAUAGAUUGAUCUUGGUGAAAGCGUAGAUUUUUUUUAUUUUCUGCAACGUUCCCCAAUAGUGGAAUCAUGAGCUAGGUCUAUGCGUAGUUCUCUUUGCACGAGUAGAACACAAUUUGUUGUGGGCGUAGAUGUUGUCAACUUUCUUGCCACUACUAGUCUUAUUUUGCUUUGGCGGCAUCAUGGGAUGAAGCGGCCCGGACCGACCUUACACGUACGCUUACGUGAAACAGGUUCCACCGAUUGACAUGCACUAGUUGCAUAAGGUGGCUAGUGGGUGUCUGUCUCUCCCACUUUAGUUGGAGCGGAUUCGACGAAAAGGGUCCUUAUGAAGGGUAAAUAGAAGUUGGCAUAUCACGUUGUGGCUUUCACGUAGGUAAGAAAAGUUCUUGCUAGAAUCCUAUAGCAGCCACAUAAAAACAUGCAACAACAAUUAGAGGACGUCUUACUUGUUUUAGCAGCAUGUGUUUUGUGAUGUGAUAUGGCCAAAAGUUGUGAUGAAUGAUAUAUAUGUGAUGUAUGAGAUCAUGUUCUUGUAAUAGGAAUCACGACUUGCAUGUCGAUGAGUAUGACAACCGGCAGGAGCCAUAGGAGUUGUCUUUAUUUUUUGUAUGACCUGCGUGUCAUUGAGAAACGCCAUGUAAAUUACUUUACUUUAUUGCUAAACGCGUUAGCCAUAGUAGUAGAAGUAAUAGUUGGCGAGCAACUUCAUGGAGACACGAUGAUGGAGAUCAUGGUGUCAUGCCGGUGACGAAGAUCAUCAUGGAGCCCCGAAGAUCGAGAUCAAAGGAGCUAUAUGAUAUUGGCCAUAUCAUGUCACUAUUUGAUUGCAUGUGAUGUUUAUCAUGUUUUUCAUCUUGUUUACUUAGAAUGACGGUAGUAAAUAAGACGAUCCCUCAUAAUAAUUUCAAGAAAGUGUUCCCCCUAACUGUGCACCGUUGCGAAGGUUCAUUGUUUCGAAGCACCACAUGAUGAUCGGGUGUGAUAGAUCCUAACGUUCGAAUACAACGGGUGUAAGCCAGAUUUACACACGCAAUACACUUAGGUUGACUUGACGAGCCUAGCAUGUACAGACAUGGCCUCGGAACACGGAGGACCGAAAGGUCGAGCAUGAGUCGUAUAGAAGAUACGAUCAAUAUGGAGAUGUUCACCGAUGUCGACUAGUCCGUCUCACGUGAUGAUCGGACACGGCCUAGUUGACUCGGAUCAUGUUUCACUUAGAUGACUAGAGGGAUGUCUAAUCUGAGUGGGAGUUCAUUGAAUAAUUUGAUUAGAUGAACUUAAUUAUCAUGAACUUAGUCUAAAAUCUUUACAAUAUGUCUUGUAGAUCAAAUGGCCCACGUUACCCUCAACUUCAACGCGUUCCUAGAGAAAACCAAGCUGAAAGAUGAUGGCAGCAACUAUACGGACUGGGUCCGGAACCUGAGGAUCAUCCUCAUAGCUACCAAGAAAGAUUAUGUCCUAGAAGCGCUGCUAGGUGAAGCACCAAUCCCAGAGAACCAAGACGUUAUGAAUGCUUGGCAGUCUCGUGCUGAUGAUUAUUCCCUCGUUCAGUGCGGCAUGCUUUAUAGCUUAGAACCAGGGCUCCAAAAGCGUUUUGAGCAACACGGAGUAUAUGAGAUGUUCGAGGAGCUGAAAAUGGUUUUCCAAGCUCAUGCCUAGGUCGAGAGAUAUGAAGUCUCCGACAAGUUCUUUAGCUGUAAGAUGGAGGAAAAUAGUUCUGUCAGUGAGCACAUACUCAAGAUGUAUGUGUUGCACAACCGCUUGACUCAGCUGGGAGUUAAUCUCUCGGAUGAUGCGAUCAUUGACAGAAUCCUUCAGUCGCUUCCACCGAGCUACAAGAGCUUUGUGAUGAACUUCAAUAUGUAGGGGAUGGAAAAGACCAUUCCUAAGGUAUAUUCAAUGCUGAAAUCGGCAGAGGUAGAGAUCAAAAAGGAACAUAAAAUGUUGAUGGUGAAUAAAACCACUAAGUUCAAGAAAGGCAAGGGUAAGAAGAACUUCAAGAAGGACGACAAGGGAGUUGCCGCGCCCGGUAAGCCAGUUGCCAAGAAAAAGUCAAACAAUGGACCCAAGCCUGAGACUGAGUGCUUUUAUUGCAACGGAAGUGGUCACUCGAAGCGGAACUGCCCCAAGUACUUAGCGGACAAGAAGGCCGGCAAAACCAAAGGUAUAUGUGAUACACAUGUUAUUGAUGUGUACCUUACCAGCACUUGUAGUAGCUCCUGGGUAUUUGAUACCGGUGCCGUUGCUCAUAUUUGUAACUCAAAGCAGGAGCUGUGGAAUAAGCGGAGACUGACGAAGGACGAGGUGAUGAUGCGCGUCGGGAAUGGUUCCAAGGUCGAUGUGAUCGCUGUCGGCACGCUACCUCUACAUUUACCUACGGGAUUAGUUUUAAACCUCAAUAAUUGUUAUUUAGUACCAGCUUUGAGCAUGAACAUUGUAUCAGGAUCUCGUUUAAUUCGAGAUGGCUACUCAUUUAAAUCCGAGAAUAAUAGUUGUUCUAUUUAUAUGAGAGAUAUGUUUUAUGGUGAUGCCCCGAUGGUCAAUGGUUUAUUCUUAAUGAAUCUCGAAUGUGAUGUUACACAUAUUUAUAGUGUGAAUAUCAAAAGAUGUAAAGUUGAUAACGAUAGUCCCACAUACUUGUGGCACUGCCGCCUUGGUCACAUUGGUGUCAAGCGCAUGAAGAAGCUCUAUACUGAUGAACUUUUAGAGUCUCUUGAUUAUGAAUCAUUUGACACAUGCGAACCAUGCCUCAUGGACAAAAUGACCAAGACUCCGUUCUCCGAAACAAUGAAGCGAGCAACCAACUUAUUAAAAAUCAUACAUGGAGAUAAGCUGAAGAAGCAGACACACAAUUUGGACGAGAAGGUGACGGUUAUCAAGUCCUUCCGAGUCUUCGAUGAUGUCCAGAGGGGAUGAUCAGAGCCUAUGACUCUGAGCUUUAAGUAAAACCGCUGCCACUGGACUACUACUACUGCCGCACUCGUAUUGUUCUGGCUGUGGCAUUGUAAAUACUCCCUCUGUCCGAGGAAAAUACAUGUAGGAAAAAAGAGUAAAUAUGGAUGUAUUUAGAAUUAAAAUACGUCUAAAUACAUCUAAUAUUUUUUUUGGACGGAGGGAGUAGAAACCUGAUGGAUGAUUGGUGGCUAUGACUUGCUAUGUAGGAGGGAAUGUUGGGUGAGUGUCAUGUGUAUUCGCACCAGCAUAUAUCAAUUCGCAAAAAUUGCUCUGAUCUUAUUUAGCAUGCACUUGCAAAUGCUCCUAUUCUGGUUCUGGUUGGUCUCAUUUUGUACUGUACCCAACUGAAAACCAUUUCCAAGUGCGCAGUUUUGUGUUUUCAGUUGUUCGUCUGAGUCUACAUUUGAGCUGGGAAAUAUGGUAUCUUAGUAAUGCUAGUUUCCACAAAACUCAUGUGCAAGGUAGUAGUGGGUACAUUUUCGUUGAAGCAUUGUAGAAUCCGUACGCAUCUUUGCUGUCAAUGCGAAAUUUUAUGAAAUAUUUGAAAACCACUUUAUUUUCUGUUGGCAAUGAGGGGCAGACUAGUAUAUAAUAAUUUAAUUUGAUUUAACCUGAGAGACAACCUGUCCAGCAAGUAGCUUCAAGCAAAUGAAUUGUAAACGAGUACUUGUUUCUUUUUCUUCCGAUUUCCAUCUUCCCCAUGGUUGUUAGACUUCAUACACUCUUCAUACAUACAACUAUAAUACAAGUAACCAUUUCUCCAGCUACACCAAAGCAAAACAAUCUUCACCGAGUUGGCAGAUGCCCACCCAUUGGUGAUCGGUAUGGUCUGAUCAUGUCAUUAAACGCCUAGGAAUGCCCACUAGCCAGCAAUGGUCUGGAUUGUACCACCUCACUGAUCCGUGGCACCAUGGCAUCCUUAUUCUCUCCACCAUGCCUUCUUCCAAGACCAUACCAUCUUUAUAUAUACUAGAGGUAGUGAUCCUUCCGCGUGCGGGGUGUGCGUGCGACUUAGGACUUUGGACGACGGCCGAGGGGGAGGUAGGAGUGUAUGCUGGGAUCUGCCGGUGCCAGUGCAAUCCAAUAGAGCGGAGGUGGACGAGUGGGGCAAUGGCGAAGUAGAAUGGUAGGUCUAUGUUGGUUGUCUCUAGAAGCCGUCACCCUGUGUAUACUGAGCAUAGGCCUCCGAUUGCAUGCCGAUUGGGGCGCGGAUGAUUUGAUCUGGGACGUCGAAGGCGUCGACGAGUUCUCGAGCCACAAGCCUCACCUGGUAACUGAGGUAGUCUACCAGUUUAUGGAUAGCCUGCAAGCAUACAGAGGAGCCAGGAGAGUGGUGACUGCGAGUGGGCAGGGCGUGGUGAAUGCAAGUAGGUGCGUGAAUGCGAGUGGGUCAAAUAGUACUGAAAUUGAAUCGUGCAAAGUGUGUCCAAACUGAAAUUGAAACUGAAACUGAAACUAGCAUACUGAAACCGACACUUGCACACUUGUUCGUUCUGAAUCUUGAGUUUCAGAACGUCGGCCUUCGGUUGACAUCAUCACGCAAAUCACCCGACAGUGGAAAAAAGGUACUAGAAGAGACAUUUUUGUGUUGAGACGGUGUAAAGUUCGAUCUAGAAGAAGUAUUUCCCUAUUCAUAUAUAUAUGACAGGUUCUGUUCGAUUAGUGCAAGUCACGCGAGGCUAUUUUUGGACAAAAAAUAUAUUCAUAUCUUUUCUCCUCGUUUAAGCAUGCAAUGCAAGCAGUGGAUUGGGUAGCAAAAAGAUGAUACAUGUAAAGGACUCAAACAAUAUUCAUAAACUUCCAACCACAGUUAUAUAGCCCCAAAACCAUUACGUAAUAAUGUUCGCAAAAAAACAUUACUUAACAAAAUAUUAAAACUAUGGCUAAACCCUAGCAAGAUAGUUCAAGCUCUCAGGCAUAUAUCUAGUAGCAGGCACCGCCCCUGAGGGCGAGGACGAGGUGGAGCACGUCGCCGGCCUUGAUAUUGUAGUCCUUUGCUGCCUUGUCGUCGGCGAGCUGCUUGCCUGCGAAGAUGAGCCUCUGCUGGAUGGGCGGGAUGCCCUCCUUCUCCUUGACGCGUUCCUUGAUGCGGUCGACCGUGUCGGUGUGCUCGAUGUCGAUGUCGAUCUCCUUGCCGGUGAGCGUCUUGACAUUGAUGGAGAGGCCGCCGCGGAGGCGGAGCACGAGGUGCAGCGUCGACUCCUUCUGCAUGUUGUAGUCGGCGGGCGUGCGGCCGUCCUCGAGCUGCUUCCCGGCGAAGAUGAGCCGCUGCUGGUCCGGCGGGAUCCCCUCCUUGUCCUGGAUCUUGGCCUUACGUUGUCGAUGGUGUCGCUGCUCUCCACCUCCAGCGUGAUCGUCUUUGCUGAACUAGUGUCUGAGCUGGUGUGUUACUCUCAAGUGUAAAAAAUGUCCAGUUUGCUCUCUUUAUUUGAAUUUUCAGUUCACUUCAAAGGAUCACUAUUACGAGCCAGGUUCUUUAAUGUUUUGUUCACCUCAGCGUAUGAACAUUGCUCUGCAAACUGAAUAAUAAAUCAGCCUAUGAGCAUGCAUAGCUCUGCAAACUGAAACAUAGAACUUGAGCAGGUAACAAAUUCAGCGCGUCAUUUGAGAGCAAAGUUCAGACUUUGCAUUCAUUUUAGAGCAUUCAAUACAACAAUUUUUGUCUCGCCAUAUAAAUCACACUCACGAUGCAAUAGGAACUUGAAUUUCAUUCUCUGCAAAUCAAGGGCACAAACAUCAACAUCAACAUCAACAAUGCUUGACUUGGCCUCCAUUACUGAAUGCUCGAGUUGUUCGUUCUGAAUCUUCAGUUUCAGAACGUCGGCCCCAUAUGCAUCAAUUUUGAAGGAGACUUGGACCGUAUGCUCAACUCGUAUAGUGUUGGAAAUAUGCCCUAGAGGCAAUAAUAAAAGCAUUAUUAUUAUAUUUCCUCGUUCAUGAUAAUUGUCUUUUAUUCAUGCUAUAACUGUAUUGUCCGGAAAUCGUAAUACACGUGUGAAUACAUAGACCAUAACAUGUCCCUAGUGAGCCUCUAGUUGACUAGCUCGUUGGUCAACAGAUAGUCAUGGUUUCCUGACUAUGGACAUUAGAUGUCAUUGACAACGGGAUCACAUCAUUAGGAGAAUGAUGUGAUGGACAAGACCCAAUCCUAAGCAUAGCACAAGAUCGUGUAGUUCGUUUUGCUAGAGCUUUUUCAAUGUCAAGUAUCUCUUCCUUAGACCAUGAGAUCGUGUAACUCCCGGAUACCGUAAGAGUGCUUUGGGUGUACCAAACGUAACAACGUAACUGGGUGACAAUAAAGGUGCACUACAGGUAUCUCCGAAAGUGUCUGUUGGGUUGACACGGAUCGAGACUGGGAUUUGUCACUCCGUAUGACGGAGAGGUAUCACUGGGCCCACUCGGUAGUGCAUCAUCAUAAUGAGCUCAAAGUGACCAAGUGUUUGGUCACGGGAUCAUGCAUUACGGUACGAGUAAAGUGACUUGCCGGUAACGAGACUAACGAGGUAUUGGGAUACCGACGAUCGAGUCUCGGGCAAGUAACAUACCGUUUGACAAAGGGAAUUGCAUACGGGGUUGAUUGAAUCCUUGACAUCGUGGUUCAUCCGAUGAAAUCAUCGAGGAGCAUGUGGGAGCCAAUAUAGGUAUCCAGAUCCCGCUGUUGGUUAUUGACCGGAGAGCCGUCUCAGUCAUGUCUGCAUGUCUCCCGAACCCGUAGGGUCUACACACUUAAGGUUCGGCGACGCUAGGGUUAUUAGGAAGACUUGUAUGUGAUUGCCGAAAGUUGUUCGGAGUCCCGGAUGGGAUCCUGGACAUCACGAGGAGUUCCGGAAUGGUCUGGAGAUAAAGAUUUAUAUAUGGGAAGUUGUCAUACGGACACCGGAAGGUUUCGGGGGCAUAUCGGUAUUGUACCGGGGCCACCGGAAGGGUUCCGGGGGUCCACCGGGAGGGGCCACCCCUCCCGGGGGGCCACAUGGGCCGCGUGGGGCAGGAGCCAGCCCCUGGAGGGCUGGGCACGCCCCCCUUGGGCCCAUGCGCCUAGGGUUGGGGGGGGGGGGGAACCCUAGAGGGGGCGCCCCCCUUGCUUGGGGGGCAAGUCCCCCCUCCCUGGCCGCCCCCCCUCUAGAUCCCAUCUAGAGGGGCCGUCCCCCUUUCCCCUUCCCCUAUAAAUAGAGGGGUGAGGGGAGGGCUGAUUACCCAAGCCAAGGUGCAGCCCCUCCCCUCCCCAACACCUCUCCUCCUUCGUUGUGUGCUUGGCGAAGCCCUGUCGGAGUACUGCCUCUUCACCAUCAUCACGUCGUCGUGCUGCUGCUGGAGCCUUCUUCCUCAACCUCUCCUUCCCCCUUGCUAGAUCAAGAAGGAGGAGACAUCGCCCGUACCGUACGUGUGUUGAACGCGGAGGUGCUGUCCGUUCAGCACUUGGUCAUCGGUGAUCUGAAUCACGCCGAGUACGACUCCAUCAUCACCGUUCCCUCGAACGCUUCCGUACGCGAUCUACAAGUGGUAUGUAGAUGCAAACUCACUCCCUUGACUCGUUGCUUAGAUGAACUCAUAGAUGGAUCUUGGUGAAACAGUAGGAAAAAAUUUAAUUUUCUGCAACGUUCCCCAACAGUGGUAUCAGAGCUAGUUCUAUGCGUAGUUCUCUAUUGCACGAGUAGAACACAAUUUUAUUGUGGGCGUAGAUCUUAUCAACUUGCUUGCCGCUACUAGUCUUAUCUUGCUUCAGCGGUAUUGUGGGAUGAAGCGGCCCGGACCAACCUUACACGUACGCUUACGUGAGACCGGUUCCACCGACUGACAUGCACUAGUUGCAUAAGGUGGCUGGCGGGUGUCUGUCUCUCCCACUUUAGUUGGAGCGGAUUCGAUGAAAAGGGUCCUUAUGAAGGGUAAAUAGAAGUUGACAAGAUCAUGUUGUGGUUAUUCGUAGGUAAGAAAACGUUCUUACUAGAACCCAAUUGCAGCCACGUAAAAGAUGCAACAACAAUUAGAGGACGUCUAACUUGUUUUUGCAGCAAUUGUCAUGUGAUGUGAUAUGGCCAGAAGUUGUGAUGAAUGAUGAAUGAUAUAUUGUGAUGUAUGAGAUCAUGUUCUUGUAAUAGGAAUCACGACUUGCAUGUCGAUGAGUAUGACAACCGGCAGGAGCCAUAGGAGUUGUCUUUAUUUUUUGUAUGACCUGCGUGUCAUUGAAGAACGCCAUGUAAAUUACUUUACUUUAUUGCUAAACGCGUUAGCCAUAGAAGUAGAAGUAGUCGUUGGCGUGACAACUUCAUGAAGACACAAUGAUGGAGAUCAUGAUGAUGGAGAUCAUGGUGUCAUGCCGGUGACGAAGAUGAUCAUGGAGCCCCGAAGAUGGAGAUCGAAGGAGUUGUAUGAUAUUGGCCAUAUCAUGUCACUACUAUAUAAUUGCAUGUGAUGUUUAUUAUGUUUUAUGCAUCUUGUUUACUUAGAACGACGGUAGUAAAUAAGAUGAUCCCUUAUAAUAAUUUCAAGAAAGUGUUCCCCCUAACUGUGCACCGUUGCUAAAGAUCGUUGUUUCGAAGCACCACGUGAUGAUCGGGUGUGAUAGAUCCUUACGUUCACAUACAACGGGUGUAAGAAAGAUUUACACAUGCAGAACACUUAGGGUUAACUUGACGAGCCUAGCAUGUACAGACAUGGCCUCGGAACACAAGAGACCGAAAGGUCGAACAUGAAUCGUAUAGAAGAUACGAUCAACAUGGAGAUGUUCACCGAUGAUGACUAGUCCGUCUCACGUGAUGAUCGGACACGGCCUAGUCGACUCGGAUCAUGUAACACUUAGAUGACUAGAGGGAUGUCUAAUCUGAGUGGGAGUUCAUUAAAUAAUUUGAUUAGAUGAACUUAAUUAUCGUGAACUUAGUCUAAAACUUUUGCAAAAUAUGUCUUGUAGAUCAAAUGGCCAACCCUCAUGUCAACAUGAACUUCAACGCGUUCCUAGAGAAAACCAAGCUGAAAGAUGAUGGCAGCAACUAUACGGACUGGGUCCGGAACCUGAGGAUCAUCCUCAUAGCUGCCAGGAAACAAUAUGUCCUAGAAGGACCGCUAGGUGAUGCACCUGUCCCAGAGAACCAAGACAUUAUGAAUGCUUGGCAGACUCGCGCUGAUGAUUACUCCCUCGUUCAGUGCGGCAUGCUUUACAGCUUAGAACCGGGGCUCCAAAAGCAUUUUGAGCAACACGGAGCAUAUGAGAUGUUCGAGGAGCUGAAACUAGUUUUCCAAGCUCAUGCCCGGGUCGAGAGAUAUGAAGUCUCCGACAAGUUCUAUAGUUGUAAGAUGGAGGAAAAUAGUUCUGUCAGUGAACAUAUACUCAAAAUGUCUGGGUUGCACAACUGCCUGUCCCAGCUGGACAUUAACCUCCCAGAUGAGGCGGUCAUUGACAGAAUCCUUCAGUCGCUCCCACCAAGCUACAAGAGCUUUGUGAUGAACUACAAUAUGCAGGGGAUGGUAAAGACCAUUCCUGGAGUAUUUUCAAUAUUGAAGUCAGCAGAGGUUGAAAUCAUGAAAGAACAUCAAGUGUUGAUGGUCAAUAAGACCACUAAGUUCAAGAAGGGUAAGGGUAAGAAGAACUUCAAGAAGGACGGCAAAGAUGUUGCCGCGCCCGGUAAGCCAGUUACCGGGAAGAAGUCAAAGAAUGGACCCAAGCCUGAAACUAAGUGCUUUUAUUGCAAGGGGAAGGGUCACUGGAAGCGGAAUUGCCCCAAAUACUUAGCGGAUAAUAAGGCCGGCAACACUAAAGGUAUAUUUGAUAUACAUGUAAUUGAUGUGUACCUUACCAGUACUCGUAAUAACUCCUGGGUAUUUGAUACCGGUGCUGUUGCUCACAUUUGUAACUCACAGCAGGAGCUGCGGAAUAAGCGGAGACUGGCGAAGGACGAGGUGACGAUGCGCGUCAGGAAUGGUUCCAAGGUCGAUGUGAUCGCCGUCGGCACGCUACCUCUACAUUUACCUACGGGAUUAGUUUUAAACCUCAAUAAUUGUUAUUUAGUGCCAAGUUUGAGCAUGAACAUUGUAUCAGGAUCUCGUUUAAUACGAGAUGGCUACUCAUUUAAAUCCGAGAAUAAUGGUUGUUCUAUUUAUAUGAGAGAUAUGUUUUAUGGUCAUGCCCCUAUGGUCAAUGGUUUAUUCUUAAUGAAUCUCGAACGUAAUAUUACACAUAUUCAUAGCGUGAAUACCAAAAGAUGUAAAGUUGAUAACGAUAGUCCCACAUACUUGUGGCACUGCCGCCUUGGUCACAUUGGUGUCAAGCGCAUGAAGAAGCUCCAUGCUGAUGGACUUUUAGAGUCUCUCGAUUAUGAAUCAUUUGACACAUGCGAACCAUGCCUCAUGGGAAAAAUGACCAAGACCCCGUUCUCCGGAACAAUGGAGCGAGCAACCAACUUGUUGGAAAUCAUACAUACCGAUGUGUGCGGUCGAAUGAGCGUUGAGGCUCGCGGAGGAUAUCGUUAUGUUCUCACUCUCACUGAUGACUUGAGUAGAUAUGGGUAUGUCUACUUGAUGAAACACAAGUCUGAGACCUUUGAAAAGUUCAAGGAAUUUUAGAAUGAAGUAGAGAAUCAACGUGACCGAAAGAUAAAGUUCUUAUGAUCGGAUCAUGGAGGAGAAUAUUUAAGUCACGAAUUUGGUACACACUUAAGAAAAUGUGGAAUCGUUUCACAACUCACGCCGCCUGGAACACCUCAGCGUAAUGGUGUGUCCGAACGUCGUAAUCGCACUCUAUUGGAUAUGGUGCGAUCUAUGAUGUCUCUUACCGAUUUACGCUAUCAUUUUGGGGAUACGCUCUAGAGACAGCUACAUUCACUUUAAAUAGGGCACCGUCUAAAUCCGUUGAGACGACACCGUAUGAAUUAUGGUUUGGGAAGAAACCUAAGCUGUCGUUUCUAAAAGUUUGGGGAUGCGAUGCUUAUGUCAAGAAACUUCAACCUGAAAAGCUCGAACCCAAGUCGGAAAAAUGCGUCUUCAUAGGAUACCCUAAAGAAACCAUUGGGUAUACCUUCUACUUAAGAUCCGAAGGCAAGAUCUUUGUUGCCAAGAACGGAUCCUUUCUGGAAAAAGAGUUUCUCUCGAAAGAAGUAAGUGGGAGGAAAGUAGAACUCGAUGAAGUACUACCUCUUGAACAGGAUAGUAGUGCAGCUCAGGAAAAUGUUCCUGUGAUGCCUACACCAACUGAAGAGGAAAACAAUGAUGAUGAUCAAGGUAUUUCGGAUCAAGUUGCUACUGAACUUCGUAGGUCCACAAGGACACGUUCCGCACCAGAGUGGUAUGGCAACCCUGUCCUGGAAAUCAUGUUGUUGGACAACGGUGAACCUUCAAACUAUGAAGAAGCAAUGGCGGGCCCAGAUUCCAACAAAUGGCUAGAAGCCAUGAAAUCCGAGAUAGAAUCCAUGAAUGAAAACAAAGUAUGGACUUUGACUGACUUGCCCGAUGAUCGGCGAGCGAUAGAAAACAAAUGGAUCUUUAAGAAGAAGACGGACGCGGAUGGAAAUGUCACCAUCUAUAAAGCUCGACUUGUCGCUAAGGGUUAUCGGCAAGUUCAAGGGAUUGACUACGAUGAGACUUUCUCUCCCGUAGCGAAGCUUAAGUCCGUCAGAAUCAUGUUAGCAAUUGCCGCAUACUAUGAUUAUGAGAUAUGGAAGAUGGACGUCAAAACGGCAUUCCUUAACGGGCAUCUUAAGGAAGAACUGUAUAUGAUGCAGCCGGAGGGUUUUGUCGAUCCUAGGAAUGCUAACAAAGUAUGCAAGCUCCAGCGAUCCAUUUAUGGGCUGGUGCAAGCAUCUCGGAGUUGGAACAUUCGCUUUGAUGAGAUGAUCAAAGCGUUUGGGUUUACGCAGACUUAUGGAGAAGCCUGCGUUUACAAGAAAGUGAGUGGGAGCUCUGUAGCAUUUCUCAUAUUAUAUGUUGAUGACAUACUUUUGAUGGGAAAUGAUAUAGAAUUCUUGGACAGCAUUAAGGCCUACUUGAAUAAGUGUUUUUCAAUGAAGGACCUUGGAGAAGCUGCUUAUAUAUUAGGCAUCAAGAUCUAUAGGGAUAGAUCGAGACGCCUCAUAGGUCUUUCACAAAGCACAUACCUUGAUAAGAUUUUGAAGAAGUUCAAAAUGGAUCAGUCCAAGAAAGGGUUCUUGCCUGUACUGCAAGGUGUGAGAUUGAGCUCGGCUCAAUGCCCGACCACGUCAAAAGAUAAAGAAGAGAUGAGCGUCAUCCCCUAUGCCUCAGCCAUAGGAUCUAUUAUGUAUGACAUGCUGUGUACCAGACCUGAUGUAAACCUUGCCGUAAGUUUGGUAGGAAGGUACCAAAGUAAUCCCGGCAAGGAACACUAGACAACGGUCAAGAAUAUACUGAAGUACCUGAAAAGGACAAAGGACAUGUUUCUCCUUUAUGGAGGUGACGAAGAGCUUGUCGUAAAGGGUUACGUCGACGCUAGCUUUGACACAGAUCUGGAUGACUCUAAGUCACAAACCGGAUAUGUGUAUAUGUUGAAUGGUGGAGCAGUAAGCUGGUGCAGCUGCAAGCAGAGCAUCGUGGCGGGAUCUACAUGUGAAGCGGAGUACAUGGCAGCCUCGGAGGCGGCGCAUGAAGCAAUAUGGGUGAAGGAGUUCAUCACCGACCUAGGAGUCAUACCCAAUGCGUCGGGGCCCAUCAAACUCUUCUGUGACAACACUGGAGCUAUUGCCCUUGCCAAGGAGCCCAGGUUUCACAAGAAGACCAGGCACAUCAAGCGUCGCUUCAACUCCAUCCGUGAAAAUGUUCAAGAUGGAGACAUAGAUAUUUGCAAAGUACAUACGAAUCUGAAUGUCGCAGAUCCGUUGACUAAACCUCUCUCGCGAGCAAAACAUGAUCAACACCAGAACUCUAUGGGUGUUCGAUUCAUCACAAUGUAACUAGAUUAUUGACUCUAGUGCAAGUGGGAGACUGUUGGAAAUAUGCCCUAGAGGCAAUAAUAAAAGCAUUAUUAUUAUAUUUCCUUGUUCAUGAUAAUUGUCUUUUAUUCAUGCUAUAACUGUAUUGUCCGGAAAUCGUAAUACACGUGUGAAUACAUAGACCAUAACAUGUCCCUAGUGAGCCUCUAGUUGACUAGCUCGUUGGUCAACAGAUAGUCAUGGUUUCCUGACUAUGGACAUUAGAUGUCAUUGACAACGGGAUCACAUCAUUAGGAGAAUGAUGUGAUGGACAAGACCCAAUCCUAAGCAUAGCACAAGAUCGUGUAGUUCGUUUUGCUAGAGCUUUUUCAAUGUCAAGUAUCUCUUCCUUAGACCAUGAGAUCGUGUAACUCCCGGAUACCGUAAGAGUGCUUUGGGUGUACCAAACAUCACAACGUAACUGGGUGACAAUAAAGGUGCACUACAGGUAUCUCCGAAAGUGUCUGUUGGGUUGACACGGAUCGAGACUGAGAUUUGUCACUCCGUAUGACGGAGAGGUAUCACUGGGCCCACUCGGUAGUGCAUCAUCAUAAUGAGCUCAAAGUGACCAAGUGUUUGGUCACGGGAUCAUGCAUUACGGUACGAGUAAAGUGACUUGCCGGUAACGAGACUAACGAGGUAUUGGGAUACCGACGAUCGAGUCUCGGGCAAGUAACAUACCGUUUGACAAAGGGAAUUGCAUACGGGGUUGAUUGAAUCCUCGACAUCGUGGUUCAUCUGAUGAAAUCAUCGAGGAGCAUGUGGGAGCCAACAUGGGUAUCCAGAUCCCGCUGUUGGUUAUUGACCGGAGAGCCGUCUCGGUCAUGUCUGCAUGUCUCCCGAACCCGUAGGGUCUACACACUUAAGGUUCGGCGACGCUAGGGUUAUUAGGAAGACUUGUAUGUGAUUACCAAAAGUUGUUCGGAGUCCCGGAUGGGAUCCCGGACGUCACGAGGAGUUCCGGAAUGGUCCGGAGGUAAAGAUUUAUAUAUGGGAAGUUGUCAUACGGACACUAGAAGGUUUCGGGGGCAUAUCGGUAUUGUACCGGGGCCACCGGAAGGGUUCCGAGGGUCCACCGGGAGGGGCCACCCCUCCUGGGGGGCCACAUGGGCCACGUGGGGCAGGAGCCAGCCCCUGGAGGGCUAGGCGCCCCCCCCUUGGGCCCAUGCGCCUAGGGUUGGGGGGGGACCCUAGAGGGGGCGCCCCCCUUGCUUGGGGGGCAAGUCCCCCCUCCCUGGCCGCCGCCCCCCCUCUAGAUCCCAUCUAGAGGGGCCGGCCCCCCUUUCCCCUUCCCCUAUAAAUAGAGGGGUGAGGGGAGGGCUGAUUACCCAAGCCAAGGCGCAGCCCCUCCCCUCCCCAACACCUCUCCUCCUUCGUUGUGUGCUUGGCGAAGCCCUGUCGGAGUACUGCCUCUCCACCAUCAUCACGCCGUCGUGCUGCUGCUGGAGCCUUCUUCCUCAACCUCUCCUUCCCCCUUGCUGGAUCAAGAAGGAGGAGACGUCGCCCGUACCGUACGUGUGUUGAACGCGGAGGUGUUGUCCGUUCAGCACUUGGUCAUCGGUGAUCUGAAUCACGCCGAGUACGACUCCAUCAUCACCGUUCCCUCGAACGCUUCCGUACGCGAUCUACAAGUGGUAUGUAGAUGCAAACUCACUCCCUUGACUCGUUGCUUAGAUGAACUCAUAGAUGGAUCUUGGUGAAACAGUAGGAAAUUUUUUAAUUUUCUGCAACGUUCCCCAACAUAUAGUGCCGGAGUCACUGAGCCAUUGAACCUUGUAGGGGUGCGGAUGCUUCAUCUUGACCAAUUGAAGCUUGGAGCAUAGUUCUUCACUUGCCAAGUUGUGGCAACUACCUCCAUCGAUGAUGACUUGACGGACCUUCCAUUGAUGCCGGAUUUUGUGUGUAAGAUGUGGCAUCGUUGGUCUUCUUCUUGUUGAUGUUGAAGAGUCAAGACCUUGGGGACAACGAGAGCGGGGCUCGAAUCCUCAUCACAAAAGACUUGAUCAUCUUCAUCCUCAUUCACGCGCCGGUGCAUGGCCACUUGCUCAAGAGCUUCCAUCUCCUCAUCACUCAUGGAGUCAUAGGUGCCAUCAUCAUUGAGGAUCAUGGUGCGCUUGUUUGUGCAUUCGUAGGACUUGUGGCCUCUGUUGGGGAACGUAGCAGAAAUUCAAAAUUUUCCUACGUGUCACCAAGAUCUAUCUAUGGAGAAACCAGCAACGAGGGGAAGGAGAGUGCAUCUACAUACCCUUGUAGAUCGCUAAGCGAAAGCGUUCAAGAGAACGGGGUUGAAGGAGUCGUACUCGUCGUGAUCCAAAUCACCGGAGAUCCUAGUGCCGAACGGACGGCACCUUCGCGUUCAACACACGUACAGCCCGGUGACGUCUCCCAUGCCUUGAUCCAGCAAGAGAGAGGGAGAGGUUGGGGAAGACUCCAUCCAGCAGCAGCACGACGGCGUGGUGGUGGUGGAGGAGCGUGGCAAUCCUGCAGGGCUUCGCCAAGCACCGCGGGAGAGGAGGAGUAAGAGAGGUAGGGCUGCGCCAAGAGGGAGAGGAACUCAUGUGUUGGGCAGCCCCUAGACCUCAACUAUAUAUAGGGGGAGGGGAGGGGGCUGCGCCCCCUCUAGGGUUCCCUCCCCAGGGGUGGCGGCAGCCCCCAGAUGCCAUCUGGGUGGCGGCCAGAAGGGGGAAGAGGGGAGGCGCACCUGGGGUGGGCCUUAGGGCCCAUCUGCCCUAGGGUUUGCCCCCCUCCCNNNNNNNNNNNNNNNNNNNNNNNNNNNNNNNNNNNNNNNNNNNNNNNNNNNNNNNNNNNNNNNNNNNNNNNNNNNNNNNNNNNNNNNNNNNNNNNNNNNNNNNNNNNNNNNNNNNNNNNNNNNNNNNNNNNNNNNNNNNNNNNNNNNNNNNNNNNNNNNNNNNNNNNNNNNNNNNNNNNNNNNNNNNNNNNNNNNNNNNNNNNNNNNNNNNNNNNNNNNNNNNNNNNNNNNNNNNNNNNNNNNNNNNNNNNNNNNNNNNNNNNNNNNNNNNNNNNNNNNNNNNNNNNNNNNNNNNNNNNNNNNNNNNNNNNNNNNNNNNNNNNNNNNNNNNNNNNNNNNNNNNNNNNNNUGGUGGACCCCCGGGACCCUCCCGGUGGUCCCGGUACGUUACCGAUAAAACCCGAAACUUUUCCGGUGACCAAAAUAGGACUUCCCAUAUAUAAAUCUUUACCUCUGAACCAUUCCGGAACUCCUCGUGACGUCCGGGAUCUCAUCCGGGACUCCGAAAAACAUUCAGUAACCACAUAGAAACUUCCUUUAUAACCCUAGCGUCAUCGAACCUUAAGUGUGUAGACCCUACGGGUUUGGGAACCAUGCAGACAUGACCGAGACGUUCUCCGGUCAAUAACCAACAGCGGGAUCUGGAUACCCAUGUUGGCUCCCACAUGUUCCACGAUGAUCUCAUUGGAUGAACCACGAUGUCAAGGACUCAAUCGAUCCCGUAUACAAUUCCCUUUGUCUAGCGGUAUUGUACUUGCCCGAGAUUCGAUCGUCGGUAUACCGAUACCUUGUUCAAUCUCGUUACCGGCAAGUCUCUUUACUCGUUCCAUGACACAUCAUCCCGCGAUCAACUCUUUGAUCACAUUGUGCACAUUAUGAUGAUGUCCUACUGAGUGGGCCCAGAGAUACCUCUCCGUUUACAUGGAGUGACAAAUCCCAGUCUCGAUUCGUGCCAACCCAACAGACACUUUCGGAGAUACCUGUAGUGCACCUUUAUAGCCACCCAGUUACGUUGUGACAUUUGGUACACCCAAAGCAUUCCUAUGGUAUCCGGGAGUUGCACAAUCUCAUGGUCUAAGGAAAUGAUACUUGACAUUAGAAAAGCUUUAGCAUACGAACUAUGAUCUUUGUGCUAGGCUUAGGAUUGGGUCUUGUCCAUCACAUCAUUCUGCUAAUGAUGUGAUCCCGUUAUCAACGGUAUCCAAUGUCCAUGGUCAGGAAACCGUAACCAUCUAUUGAUCAACGAGCUAGUCAACUAGAGGCUUACUAGGGACAUGGUGUUGUCUAUGUACCCACACAUGUAUAUGAGUUUCCUAUCAAUACAAUUAUAGCAUGGAUAAUAAACGAUUAUCAUGAACAAGAAAAUAUAAUAAUAACUAAUUUAUUAUUGCCUCUAGGGCAUAUUUCCAACAGUCUCCCACUUGCACUAGAGUCAAUAAUCUAGUUCACAUCGCCAUGUGAUUAACACUCACAGGUCACAUCAUCAUGUGACCAACAUCCAAAGAGUUUACUAGUGUCACUAAACUAGUUCACAUCAUCAUGUGAUUAAGACUCAAUGAGUUCUGGGGUUUGAUCAUGUUUUGCUUGUGAGAGAGGUUUUUAGUCAACGGGUCUGCAACAUUCAGAUCCGUAUGUACUUCGCAAAUCUCUAGGUCAUAUUGUAAAUGCUGCUUCCACGCUCCACUUGGAGCUAUUCCAAAUGGUUGCUCCACUAUAUGUAUCCGGUUUGCUACUCAGAGUCAUUCGGAUAGGUGUUAAAGCUUGCAUCUUCGUAACCCUUUACGCCGAACUCUUUAUCACCUCCAUAAUCAAGAAACAUGUCCUUAUUACUCCAAGGACAAUUUUUGACCGCUGUCUGGUGAUCCACUCCUUGAUCACCUUUGUACCUUCUUGCCAGACAUGUGUCAAGGCACACAUCAGGUGCGGUACUUAGCAUAGCAUACUGUAGAGCCUACGUCUAAAGCAUAGGGGACGACCUUCGUCCUUUCUCUCUAUUCUGCCGUGGUUGAGCUUUAAGUCUUAACUUCGUACCUUACAACUCAGGCAAGAACUCCUUCUUUGACUGGUCCAUCUUGAACACCUUCAAGAUCAUGUCAAGGUAUGUGCUCAUUUGAAAGUACCAUUAAGCAUUUUGAUCUUUCCUUAUAGAUCUUGAUGCUCAAUGUUCAAGCAGCUUAAUCUAGGUUUUCUAUUGAAAAACACUUUUCAAAUAACCCUAUAUGCUUUCCAGAAAUUCUACAUCAUUUUUGAUCAACAAUAUGUCAACAACAUAUACUCAUCAGAAAUUCUAUAGUGCUCCCACUCACUUCUUUGGAAAUACAAGUUUCCCAUGAACUUUGUAUAAACCCAAAAUUUUUGAUCAUCUCAUCAAAGCGCACAUUCCAACUCCGAGAUGCUUACUCCAGUCCUUAGAAGGAUCGCUGGAGCCAACAUACCUUUUAGCAUCCUUAGGAUCGACAAAAACUUUUUGAUUGUAUCACAUACAACCUUUCCAUACAAAGAUUGGUAAGGAAACUCGUUUUGACAUCCAUCUGCUAGAUUUCAUAAAUGCAGCUAAUGCUAACAUGAUUCCGACGGACUUAAGCAUCGCUGCGGAGGAGAAAAUCUCAUCAUAGUCAACUCCUUGAACUUGUGAAAAACUCUUCGCCACAAGUCGAGCUUAUAGACGGUGACAUUACCGUCCACGUCCGUCUUCUUCUUAAAGAUCCAUUUAUCUCAAUGGCUUGCCGAUCAUUGGGCAAGUCCACCAAAGUCCAUGCUUUGUUCUGAUACAUGGAUCCUAUCUCGGAUUUCAUGGCUUCUAACCAUUUGUUGGAAUAUGGGCCCACCAUUGCUUCUUCAUAGCUCGUAGGUUCAUUGUUGUCUAGCAACAUGACUUUCAAGACAGGAUUACUGUACCACUCUGAAGUAGUACGCAUCCUUGUCACCCUACGAGGUACGGUAGUGACUUGAUCCGAAACUUCAUGAUCACUAUCAUAAGCUUCUACUUCAAUUGGUGUAGGCGCCACAGGAACAACUUCCUGUGCCCUGCUACAAUCUUGUUGAAGUGGCGGUUCAAUAACCUCAUCAAGUCUCCACCAUCCUCCCACUCAAUUCUCGAGACAAACCUUUCCUUGAGAAAGGACCCAAUUCAAGAAACAAUCCUUAUUGCUUCCGGAUCUGAAUUAGGAGGUAUACCCAACUGUUUUGGGUGUCCUAUGAAGAUGCAUUUUAUCCACUUUGGGUUCGAGCUUAUCAACCUGAAACUUUUCACAUAAGCGUCGCAGCCCCAAACCUUUAAGAAAUGACAGCUUAGGUUUCUCUAAACCAUAGUUCAUACGUUGUCAUCUCAACGGAAUUACGUGGUGCCCUAUAUAAAGUGAAUGUGGUUGUCUCUAAUGCCUAACCCAUAAACGAUAGUGGUAAUUCGAUAAGAGACAUCAUGGUAUGCACCAUAUCCAAUAGGGUGCAACUAUGAUGUUCGGACACACCAUCACACUAUGGUGUUCCAGGCGGUAUCAAUUGUGAAACAAUUUCCACAAUAUCUUAAUUGCGUGCCAAAGCUCGUAACUCAGAUACUCAUCUCUAUGAUCAUAUCAUAGACAUUUUAUCCUCUUGUCACGAUGAUCUUCAACUUCACUCUGAAAUUACUUGAACCAUUCAAUAAUUCAGACUUGUGUUUCAUCAACUAAAUAUACUCAACAUCUACUCGAAUCACCCGUGAAGUAAGAACAUAACGAUAUCCACUGCGUGCCUGGGCACUCAUUGGACUGCACACAUCAAAAUGUAUUACUUCCAACAAGUUGCUUUCUCGUUCUAUUUUACUGAAAAUGAGGCUUUCAGUCAUCUUGCCCAUGUGGUAUGAUUUUCAUGUCUCAAGUGAUUCAGAAUCAAGAGAGUCCAAACGAUCCAUCUGCAUGGAGUUUCUUCAUGCGUAUACACCAAUAGACAUGGUUCGCAUGUCUCAAACUUUUCAAAAACGAGUGAGUCCAAAGAUCCAUCAACAUGGAGCUUCUUCAUGCGUUUUAUACCAAUAUGACCUAUAUGGCAGUGCCACAAGUAAGUGGUACUAUCAUUACUAUCUUAUACCUUUUGGCAUGAAAAUGUGUAUCACUACGAUCGAGAUUCAAUAAACCAUCCCUUUAGGUGCAAGACCAUUGAAGGUAUUAUUCAAAUAAAUAGAGUAACCAUUAUUCUCCUUAAAUGAAUAACCGUAUUGCGAUAGACGUAAUCCAAUCAUGUCUAUGCUCAACGCAAACACCAAAUGACAAUUAUUCAGGUUUAAUACUAAUCUUGAUGGUAGAGGGAGCAUGCGAUGUUUGAUCACAUCAAACUUGGAAACACUUCCAACACAUAUCGUCAGCUCACCUUUAGCUAGUCUCCGUUUAUUCCGUAGCUCUUUUAUUUUGAGUUACUAACACUUAGCAACCAAACCGGUACCUAAUACCCUGGUUGAUGUAGGGCAAAACCCUAGUUGGACGAUCUUUCACGUUUGGAGAGGAUCCUACGGAGAUUCACGAAGAACACACGGAAGCACAAAGGGGAAAACACGGGGAGAACGAGAGAGAAUCACGAAACCGACAUAGAAUCAAUCACACGAGUGCUAGAUCACCGAACACAAAGAGAUACACAUGAUCCACAAUCAAAAAAGGCAAGGAUACAAAGGCACCGUUCUUCUCCGCACGGAGGUCUUGAUGGUCUUCCCUAGAAAGGGGUCUUGAAUCCGCUUGGGGGAUCUUCUCCGAAGAGGUCCUGAACUCCGAGGAGAAGUAUCCAAGUGGAUGAGCAAGGCUCUCACACAAAUAUGAGCUAUCCAAUGCUAACCCUAAAACGUACGGGAUGAGAGAGUAUAUACAGUCUACGGGGCGGAAGGGUACACGGGCCGCGGCCCAAGUGGCUGCGCGCAGGAAGGGCCGGAAGUUCCGGGCGCCGGAGGUUCCGGGCAAGGUCCGGCCUAAGCCGAAAGUUGGCACAGGUGAAGCAGGGCUAGCUUCUGGGGGCCGGAAGUUCCGGGCCAGGCCGGAGGUUCUGGGGGCCGGAAGUUCUGGACCAGGUUCCGGGCAGGUUCCGGGCUAAGCAGAAAGUUGGCAUGCCCGGGGUGGUCGAUGUCGAAGGAGGCCGGAAGUUCUGGGCAGGCCGGAAGUUCCGGGCCAGGUUCCGGGCAGGUUCCGGGAUGAGCAGAGAGUUGAUGCCUGUCGCUUCUUCUUCAGCGUUGUACCUGAUCACACACAGAGUUUCCGUCUAAGGUAGUAGCCAUGUCUCGUGAGUAGAAAGAGGGAUUUCAGAGAGGAGCGAGUUCACCUUAUCUUCGAUAGCCUUAGAGCGGGCUCGAGUCAUGGGUCCACGUGGUGUUGAAGGAGAUGUAGAUGCGUCCAUGGGGAUGAGCGAGGGAUGCUCCGCAUCAUCUCCUCCCCCUUGAGAGAGAUCCGACCUCGGAUCAAAAACUUCAUCUCCAUGGUAAGGUGCGAGGUCCUUGACGUUGAAGAUGUCGCUCACAUUGUACUUGUCUCGAGGUAGGUCAAUCUUGUAGGCGUUGUCGUUGUAGCGUGCUAGCACCUUGAAAGGUCCGUCGGCUCGAGGGAGAAGCUUGGACUUGUGUUCGAUGGGGAAGCGGUCCUUGCGAAGGUGUAGCCACACUAGAUCACCAAUGUUGAAGACCAUGGGUUGCUUGUUGAUGUUGAGCUUGGUCGCUAGUCGUUGUUUUGUCGCUCGAUGGUGUGCCUUGUAUCUUCAUGCAUCUUCUUGAUGUAGCUUGCACGGGCACUUGGCGUCGAGGUUGGUUCGCUCUUGUAGAGGAAGAGGUAGGAUGUCCAAUGGGGACAAUGGGUUGAAGCCGUAGACGACCUCGAAGGGGGACUUGCCAGUCGUCGAAUGUCUUGCACGGUUGUAGGCGUACUCGGCGAUGGGUAGGCACUCUUCCCACUCCUUGAUGUUCCUCUUGAUCAACAUGCGAAGUAGAGUGGAGAGUGUAUGGUUCGUCACCUCCGUUUGGCCGUCGGUUUGAGGAUGGUAUGCUGAAGAGAACAAUAGCUUGAUGCCGAGCUUGGCGCAUAGGGUCUUCCAAAAGUAACUCAAGAACUUGACGUCGCGGUCCGAGACAAUUGUCUUUGGCACUCCAUGAAGUCGCAGGAUUUCCCUACAAAAUAGAUUGGCAAUAUGUGAAGCAUCGUCAAUCUUGUUGCAAGGAAUGAAAUGUGCCAUUUUAGAAAAUCUGUCCACAACGACAAACACGGAAUCCUUUCCAUGUUGAGUUCGAGGCAAACCAAGUACAAAAUCCAUACUAAUGUCUUCCCAUGGUUGAUAAGGAAUAGGAAGAGGCAUGUAAAGACCAUGAGAUUGAGCUUUAGACUUAGCUUUGCGACAUGUAGAGCAUCGGGUGGGAAGCGUGAGACGUCGCGGAACAUCUUGGGCCAAAAGUAGUUCUUGGAGAGCGUGGCAAAAGUCUUGUCGCAUCCAAAGUGUCCCAUGAGUCCACCUCCAUGAGCCUCUUGCAAAAGGAGCAAACGAAGAGAAGACUCGGGAAUGCAUAGUUUGUUAGCUCUCAUAAGAUAACCAUCCUUGAUGUAAUAUUGUUCCCAAGAUGUAUGCGUCAAACAUUUAGCAUAAUGAGGUGCAAAAGAUGGAUCAUUAGCAUACAAGUCUUUUAUGUGCUCAAAGCCAAUAACAUUCAACUCAAGUUUAGUGACAAGCGUGCAUAUGCGUGAAAGUGCAUCGGCAACUACAUUUUCCUUACCCUUAAUGUACUUGAUCACAUAUGGGAAAGAUUCAAUAAAUUCACUCCAUUUGGCAUGAUGCUUGUUCAACUUAGUUUGACCUUUUAAGUACUUAAGUGUUUCAUGAUCGGUAAGGAUGACAAACUCAUGAGGUCUAAGAGAAUGUUCCCAAAUAUGUAGGACACGCACUAAAGCAUACAAUUCUUUGUUAUAGAUGGGAUAGUUAAGUUGGGCACCGGAGAGUUUUUCACUAAAAUAAGCAAUGGCUCAUUUUUCUUGCAUCAAAACUCCGCCAAUUCCGGUACCACUUGCAUCACAAUGAACCUCAAAAGUUUUGUCAAAGUUAGGCAAAGCAAGAAUCAGAGCAUGAGUAAGCAAAGACUUGAGCUCAUGAAAAGCGGUUGAUUGCAAAGUUCCCCAAACAAAAGGAGUAUUCUUCUUACUCAAAUCAUGCAAAGGGGCGGCAAUAGUGCUAAAGUUUUUCACAAAGCGACGAUAAAAUCCUACAAGACCAAGAAAACUUCGCACUUGUUGCAAAUUGGUGGGUUGGGGCCAAGUUUUAAUUGCUUCAAUUUUAGUUUCAUCAACAUGGACACCCUUGGAAGAGACAACGAAACCCAAGAAAACCACUUUGUCAACACCAAAUGUGCACUUUUUCAUGUUGGCAUAAAGACUUUCUUUGCGAAGAGUUUGCAAAACAGAUUUAACAUGAUUAAUAUGCUCUUUCAUGGUUUUGCUAAACACAAGAAUAUCAUCAAAGUAAACCACAACAAAGAUUCCAAUGUAAGGUCGAAGUACAUGAUGCAUGAGACGCGCAAAAGUACCGGGAGCCUCCGAUAAACCCAUAGGCAUGACUAACCACUCAUAUAAGCCAAAUUUUGUUUUGAAAGCAGUUUUCCAUUCAUCACCCUCUUGAAUGCGGAUUUGAUAAUAGCCACUUUUAAGAUCAAUUUUGGAGAAAAAGUUGGCUCCACCAAGUUCAUCAACCAUAUCAUCUAAGCGAGGAAUGGGAUGCCUAUAGCAAACGGUGAUAGCAUUUAUAGGUCUACAAUCGGAACACAAACGGAAACUUCCAUCGGGCUUAGGCACAAGUAUAACGGGAACGGCACAAGGGCUUAAGCUUUCACGUACAUGACCGUUGUCGAUUAGCUGUUGUACUUGCCGUUGAAUCUCCUUGGUUUCUUCGGGAUUGACACGGUAUGGAGCUUUGUUUGGAAGUGGCGCUCCGGAUAUGAGGUCGAUUCGAUGCUCAAUUCCUUGUAGAGGAGGUAGACCCAGAGGCAGCUCAUCGGGGAAAACAUCUUGGAAUUCCUGCAAAAAGAUUGAAACACCAAAGGUAGCUUGUGAAUGGUGUUAGUUUUUGGUUCUCCAUCCUUGCACACAAGGACAAAGUGCAUCACACUCGAUGGGUUCUCACACACUUCUCUCAUCUCACUUUUGGUGGCAAAUAGGAUGAGGUUUUUCUCUCUAGGCGAAGAGGCGCUCAAGUUUGGCUUGUGGUUGUCACUCACUUUUUGGUGGGUCACUUUCUCACUCUUCUCUCCAUGAUGGGUGGCUUGCUUGUCGGCUAUCACUUGACUAGGAGACAUAGGUCGUAGCACGUAUUCCUUCCCUUUCAUCUUGAAGCUAUAGUGAUUGGUGCGCCCAUUGUGGAUGACACCACGGUCGAAUUUCCAUGGUCGACCAAGAAGUAGGUGGCAAACUGUCAUUGGGACCACAUCACACUCCAAAGUGUCUUCAUAAGCACAAAUUUUGAAGGAUACUUGGACCGUAUGCUUAACUCAUAUAGUGCCGGAGUCACUUAGCCAUUGAACCUUGUAGGGGUGUGGGUGCUUCCUCUUGACCAAUUGAAGCUUGGAGCAUAGUUCUUCACUUGCCAAGUUGUGGAAACUACCUCCAUCGAUGAUGACCUUGACGGACCUUCCAUUGAUGCCGGCCUUAGUGUGGAAGAUGUGGCAUCGUUGGUCUUCUUCUUGUUGAUGUUGAAGUGUCAAGACUUUGGAUACAACGAGAGCGGGGCUUGAAUCCUCAUCACAAAAUACUUGAUCAUCUUCAUCCUCGUUCAUGCGCCGGUGCAUGGCGACUUGCUCAAGGGCUUCCAUCUCCUCUUCACUCAUGGAGUCAUAUGUGCCAUCUUCGUUGAGGAUCAUGGUGCGCUUGUUCAUGCAUUGAUAGGACUUGUGGCCUCGGUCGCCGCAAGUGAAACACUUGAAGGAGCUUGUCUUGACGGUCUCACCGGUUGGAGUAGAUGAUGAAGCACGCGGCUUGAAGUUGCUUGUAUUAGGAGGAAGACGACUUGAACUUGACGAAGUUUUCCUGUAACUUGACUUGUCGUCAUUGCUUGGAGAAGGUUUGGUUGACGUAGAUGUUGGAGGAGUUGUUAAAGCUUGGAUGUUGGAGAAACCGUAUGUCUUGGAUGAGUACUUGGCGUACUUGAAGUCAUCUUGCACUUGACGUUCCGCUUUUGUAGCUUGAUGCACGAGCUCAAUGAGGUUGGAGUAGGGUUGGAAGUCGGCAAUCUUCUUGAUGGGAUGAUUGAGACCAUUCAAGAAACGUGCCAUUGUUUGCUCAUCAUCUUCCGUGACAUUGGCUCGAAUCAUGGCAAUCUCCAUUUCCUUGUAGUAUUCUUCAUUACUCUUUGUUUCUUGCUUGAGGAGUUGUAGCUUCUUGAAGAGAUCGCGAUUGUAGUAGGUUGGUACAAAACGUGCUCGCAUGACUUCCUUCAUUUGAGCCCAAGUGGUGAUAGGUGGUUCACCUCUUGUUUCACGGCGCUCAAGGACUUGUUCCCACCAUAUGAGCACAUAGUCUUGGAACUCAAGUGAUGACAUAGCGAUCUUCUUCUCUUCCUCAUAGUUGUGCAAGCGGAAAAUUUUGUCGACCUUCAAUGCCCAUGAGAGGUAUUCUUCGGGAUCAUUGCUUCCAUUGAACUUGGGCAUUGUGAAUUUGAGUUUUCCAUAGCGUUGCUCUUCAUUGUGUUGUUGGCGAUGGUGAUGAUGACGCCCUUGACGUGGAGGAUAGUCAUCCUCAUGUUGCUCUUGUUGCGGAUGAAGACCAUGAUCAACUUGCUCUUGUUGAGCUUGAGGUUGAGGUGGAUCUUGACGAGCUUGUGGAGGAGCUUGUGGAGCUUGACGUGCUUGUGGAGGAGCUUGUGGUGCCCUAUAUAAAGUGAAUGUGGUUGUCUCUAAUGCCUAACCCAUAAACGAUAGUGGUAAUUCGAUAAGAGACAUCAUGGUAUGCACCAUAUCCAAUAAGGUGCAACUAUGAUGUUCGGACACACCAUCACACUAUGGUGUUCCAGGCGGUAUCAAUUGUGAAACAAUUUCCACAAUGUCUUAAUUGCGUGCCAAAGCUCGUAACUCAGAUACUCAUCUCUAUGAUCAUAUCAUAGACAUUUUAUCCUCUUGUCACGAUGAUCUUCAACUUCACUCUGAAAUUACUUGAACCAUUCAAUAAUUCAGACUUGUGUUUCAUCAACUAAAUAUACUCAACAUCUACUCGAAUCACCCGUGAAGUAAGAACAUAACGAUAUCCACUGCGUGCCUGGGCACUCAUUGGACUGCACACAUCAAAAUGUAUUACUUCCAACAAGUUGCUUUCUCGUUCCAUUUUACUGAAAAUGAGGCUUUCAGUCAUCUUGCCCAUGUGGUAUGAUUUGCAUGUCUCAAGUGAUUCAGAAUCAAGAGAGUCCAAACGAUCCAUCUGCCCAUGAGAGGUAUUCUUCGGGAUCAUUGCUUCCGUUGAACUUGGGCAUUGUGAAUUUGAAUUUUCUGUAGCGUUGCUCUUCAUUGUGUUGUUGGCGAUGGUGAUGAUGACGCCCUUAACGUGGAGGAUAGUCAUCCUCAUGUUGCUCUUGUUGCGGAUGAAGACCAUGAUCAACUUGCUCUUGUUGAGCUUGAGGUUGAGGUGGAUCUUGACGAGCUUGUGGAAGAGCUUGUGGAGCUUGACGUGCUUGUGGAGGAGCUUGUGGAGCUUGACGUUGCACAUUCGGUUGAUAGUUCCUCUCUUGGAUUUCUUCUCGAAGAGCUUCCUCUUGAUUGCGCCGUUCGCGAUUGCGGUUGGCGAUGGCUCGACUUGAUUCUUGAAGGGCACGUUGCGCCUCAAGAGCUUGCGCUUCUCGUUGUUGUUGUUGAAGACGUUGAGCCUCGGCGUCUUGUUCCUCUUGGUGUAGACGCGCUUGUUCUUCUUCUUGGCGUCGUAGUCAUUGUCGUUCUUGAGCUUGAGCAAAAGCGACUUGGUUUGAUUGAGGACGAGGAACUUGCUCAUCAACUUGCUCUUGGGAAUGCUUGUCAUGUAGCGGGUUCCGAGAUGCAUGUCGGUCUUGACGCGCGGCUCGUCGAAGAAUGGUCGAUGACGGUGUACUUGAGCCGGAGAAGGUGUCAUCGGAGUGUCGACUCGAGCGGCUCCGUCUUGACGGUGAAGAAGUGAAAUGAUGCCUGUUCCUCAUCAAGGCGCGGAUCUCGUCCAUUCUUGCAUCAUUCUCUUGCUUGUGGGAGUCGAACUUGUUGUCGAAGUAGUCUCUUGUACGUUGCUCGGAGAGUCGCAAGUCGGUGGCGAGGUUGUCGAUGCGGUCGCUCAUAGCUUGUUGCUCUUAGUGUAACGCCCUUUGCGCAUCAAAGAGGUGGCUCUUUGUGACGAAUGAUGACAUGUCGUCGCCGUUCUCGAUGAGAGGUGGAUUUGUAGAAGAACUUGGCCUAUCCAUCAUUCCAAACAAAAUGUGAGUGGUAGAAGGAAAAGAACGUGUACCAAAUGUACCUUGACCGAAAUUGAAAAUGAAUCAAGUUCACUCCAAUGCGGACAAUGAAAUAGCACUUUUGGUACCAAUUCUUGUCGGUUCGCACACCUACACACGUAAAAGCUUUUGGUGGAGCUUGGUUAGGAUGGUGGCACAAAAUUUGAUGCAAUAGUAAGUGAGCUUCAAUAAUGUUGGAAAAGGUUCACAAAUUUGCAAAUGCAACAAGUAGACCAAGCAAGUAUGGGUACACGGAAACACACACGCAAAUAGAUAAGUGGGAUUGUGCAAUCCAAAAGUGAGCCAAAAUGUGGAAACCACGAAAAUGCUCUUGUUGCACAAUACUAGAGAGACGCUAGCACGAUUGCACAAUAGGAGGAUACGCAAACUUGUGCACAACCUACUAGGCAAAAUUGCAACUAUCUCUAUCCCAAGUAUGCUAUAUGUAUGGUAUUUCGGUGCAAUGAUCCAAGAUGAUCCAAUAUGACAAUCUUAAUGUAGUAUGAUGCUAUGGUUCUUGUUCAUAAGCUCUUUGCUUAUCUUUCCUCUUUUGCUUAAAAGCUUGGGUGGCUCUUUCACUCUUUGAGCUCUUUUCUUAUGCAAAACUUUACGAACCAAGAUAGCAAUUGUGUAUGCUAUGACAACUUUGUGACACACAAGUGGAUCCCAAGAUAUGCACCACUAUGGUAUGGUAUGUAUGCUUAUGGAGUAUGAUCCCUAAUGUGCACAAGUCACAUUGCCUGCAAUACUCAAUGGCUAGUCUCGAUGGGUAAGCUACGCAAAAUGAGGCAAUGUGGGUUAUCAAUGCAAUUGCAAGGUAUGACAAAGAUGUCGUUGAUGUUACCGUCCUUGCUUCGGUUGAAGGUUGAAACGGAUGCGAAAGUAGAUGGGGACGCAGUGCACGGUCUUCGGUACGUUGGCGAAGAUGCCGCUGCACCUAGAUCGAAGUUUCCAAAGUAGCGAAAGUGUCGAAGAAGUGCACCCUUUCUAUCUAGGCCGGAAGUUCCGGGCAAGACGGAAGUUCCGGGGUCCGGAAGUUUCAGGGACGGCCGGAAGGUCCGGGGGUCGGGAUUCUGCCAAGAACAGAGACUUCGAGCUCGUGGAUUUGGGCGGAAAAACUUGGGGAAAACCCCAAAUCCGAGGGGGAAAAGAAGAAAUUAGAAGGUAGGAAGGGCAGGGAAGCUAGAUCCACUCGAAACAAAGCAAAUCCAUGGAUGAAAUCCAACAAAAUCUUGACUCACCAACAAAUCACAAAAAAAAAA
rnacentral:lncRNA from 1 species